rnacentral:rRNA from 1 species
UACAGGGGGUGCAAACGUUGCUCGGAAUCAUUGGGCGUAAAGGGCGCGUAGGCGGCUCGGUAAGUAGGGGGUGAAAUCCUGCGGCUUAACCGCAGGGCUGCCUUCUAAACUGUCGAGCUUGAGCACGGUAGAGGCAGAUGGAAUUCCCGGUGUAGCGGUGGAAUGCGUAGAGAUCGGGAAGAACAUCAGUGGCGAAGGCGGUCUGCUGGGCCGUUGCUGACGCUGAGGCGCGACAGCGUGGGGAGCAAACAGG